CCUACGGGAGGCAGCAGUGAGGAAUAUUGGUCAAUGGGCGCGAGCCUGAACCAGCCAAGUAGCGUGCAGGAUGACUGCCCUACGGGUUGUAAACUUCUUUUGUAAAGGGAUAAAGUGCGGCACGUGUGCCUUUUUGUAUGUACUUUACGAAUAAGGAUCGGCUAACUCCGUGCCAGCAGCCGCGGUAAUACGGAGGAUCCGAGCGUUAUCCGGAUUUAUUGGGUUUAAAGGGAGCGUAGACGGGUUGUUAAGUCAGUUGUGAAAGCCUGCGGCUCAACCGUGAAAUUGCAAUUGAUACUGGCAGGCUAGAGUUCAGUUGCGGUAGGCGGAAUGCGUGGUGUAGCGGUGAAAUGCAUAGAUAUCACGAAGAACACCGAUUGCGAAGGCAGCCUACUAAACUGCGACUGACAUUGAUGCUCGAAAGUGUGGGUAGCAAACAGGAUUAGAUACCCUUGUAGUC
rnacentral:rRNA from 1 species